rnacentral:rRNA from 1 species
CUUCGGGAGAAGGAUCGCCGCGGUAGGGUGAGAUGACUAGCUUAUCGAGCCCGAGGCGGCCGCAGUGAAAUGGCCCUGCCGACUGUUUAACAAAAUCACAGGUCUCUGCGAACUCGAAAGAGGACGUAUAGGGGCUGACACCUGCCCAGUGCCGGAAGGUUAAAGGGAGAGGUUAGCGCAAGCGAAGCUUUGAACUGAAGCCCCGGUGAACGGCGGCCGUAACUAUAACGGUCCUAAGGUAGCGAAAUUCCUUGUCGGGUAAGUUCCGACCCGCACGAAUGGUGUAACGAGUGGGGCACUGUCUCAACGAGGGACCCGGUGAAAUUGAAGUAGCGGUGAAGAUGCCGUUUACCCGCAGCAGGACAAAAAGACCCCGUGGAGCUUUACUGUAGCUUGGCAUUGAGUUAGGGCUUGGCUUGUGUAGGAUAGCUGGGAGACUGAGAAACUGGGGCGCUAGCCUCGGUGGAGUCGCCGUUGAAAUACCAGCCUGGUUAAGUCUUGACCCUAACCUGAGUCCGUAAUCCGGCUUGGGAACAGUGCCUGGUAGGCAGUUUGACUGGGGCGGUCGCCUCCUAAAAGGUACCGGAGGCGCGCAAAGGUUCCCUCAGGCUGAGUGGAAACCAGCCAUAGAGUGCAAACGCAUAAGGGAGCUUGACUGCAAGACCAACAAGUCGAGCAGAGACGAAAGUCGGCGUUAGUGAUCCCACGGUUCAGAGUGGAAUGGCCGUGGCUUAACGGAUAAAAGCUACCCCGGGGAUAACAGGCUAGUCACGCCCAAGAGUCCAUAUCGACGGCGUGGCUCGGCACCUCGAUGUCGGCUCGUCGCAUCCUGGGGCUGAAGUAGGUCCCAAGGGUUGGGCUGUUCGCCCAUUAAAGCGGUACGCGAGCUGGGUUCAGACCGUCGUGAGACAGGUCGGUCUCUAUCCGCUGUGGGCGUAGGGGAUUUGAGAGGAGCUGCUCCUAGUACGAGAGGACCGGAGUGGACAGACCUCUGGUGUGUCAGUUGUCGUGCCAACGGCAUUGCUGAGUAGCUAAGUCUGGCGAGGAUAACCGCUGAAAGCAUCUAAGUGGGAAGCCUGCCUCAAGAUUAGAUCCCCCACCUUCUUGUAAGGGUAAGUGCGCUGGAAGACUACCAGCUUGAUAGGCGAGGCGUGUACGCGCAGCAAUGCGUUUAGCGGACUCGUACUAAUGCACGAGGGCUUUCUAC